UGCCCAAGAGAUCGGGAUAACACCUGGAAACAGAUGCUAAUACCGGAUAACAACAGAUGAUGCCUAUCAACUGUUUAAAAGAUGGUUCUGCUAUCACUCUUGGAUGGACCUGCGGUGCAUUAGCUAGUUGGUAGGGUAACGGCCUACCAAGGCGAUGAUGCAUAGCCGAGUUGAGAGACUGAUCGGCCACAUUGGGACUGAGACACGGCCCAAACUCCUACACGGGAGGCAGCAGAC
rnacentral:rRNA from 1 species